rnacentral:rRNA from 1 species
GAUGAACGCUGGCGGCGUGCCUAAUACAUGCAAGUCGAGCGAACAGACGAGGAGCUUGCUCCUUUGACGUUAGCGGCGGACGGGUGAGUAACACGUAGGUAACCUACCUAUAAGACUGGGAUAACUUCGGGAAACCGGAGCUAAUACCGGAUAAUAUUUCGAACCGCAUGGUUCGAUAGUGAAAGAUGGCUUUGCUAUCACUUAUAGAUGGACCUGCGCCGUAUUAGCUAGUUGGUAAGGUAACGGCUUACCAAGGCAACGAUACGUAGCCGACCUGAGAGGGUGAUCGGCCACACUGGAACUGAGACACGGUCCAGACUCCUACGGGAGGCAGCAGUAGGGAAUCUUCCGCAAUGGGCGAAAGCCUGACGGAGCAACGCCGCGUGAGUGAUGAAGGUCUUCGGAUCGUAAAACUCUGUUAUUAGGGAAGAUCAAACGUGUAAGUAACUGUGCACGUCUUGACGGUACCUAAUCAGAAAGCCACGGCUAACUACGUG